rnacentral:misc_RNA from 1 species
AAGUCGUAACAAGGUUUCCGUAGGUGAACCUCAGACACCAACAAGCAGAGGAAUGCCAGGCCACUUGCCUCACGCUCAAGCACAGUCUACGCAGAAGUCCCUGAUAUCAAAACUGUUCGGCAAUGAUUUACCAGGGAUUGCUACCUUUUCUAAGAAAGUGCGAGCGCACUGAAGGUUCACGGGGGGGUUUAACGUUGGAUACGUGUUAAUGAUCCUACGAUCGCUAGAGGCCGACACGGCCGGCGACCGGGUCACUGGGCGCGAGCCCCCCUCGUCACCUUUGCAUGAAAACGGGCCUGCGCUUAAUUGUGCGGCCACCAAACUCGAACAACUGUUAACAAUGGAUAUCUUGGUUCUC